CUGCUGCCUCCCGUAGGAGUCUGGUCCGUGUCUCAGUACCAGUGUGGGGGACCUUCCUCUCAGAACCCCUACGCAUCGUCGCCUUGGUGGGCCGUUACCCCGCCAACAAGCUAAUGCGACGCAUGACCAUCCGUAGCCGGAAUCGCUUCCUUUAAACCCACAGAGAUGCCUCCAUGGGUUGUUACGCGGUAUUAGACGGAAUUUCUUCCGCUUAUCCCCCUGCCACGGGCAGGUUUCAUACGUGUUACUCACCCGUGCGCCGGUCGCCGGG
rnacentral:rRNA from 1 species